rnacentral:rRNA from 1 species
CCCGCACAAGCGGUGGAGCAUGUGGUUUAAUUCGAUGGUACGCGAGGAACCUUACCUGGGUUUGACAUACGGAGGGAAGUGGCAGCGAUGUCACUGUGUCGCGAGACGACUCCGUACAGGUGCUGCAUGGCUGUCGUCAGCUCGUGCCGUGAGGUGUUGGGUUAAGUCCCGCAACGAGCGCAACCCUCGUCCCUAGUUGCCAGCAUUAAGUUGGGCACUCUAAGGAGACUGCCGGUGUUAAACCGGAGGAAGGCGGGGAUGACGUCAAGUCCUCAUGGCCCUUAUGUCCAGGGCUACACACGUGCUACAAUGGCCGGUACAAAGGGUAGCAAGACCGCGAGGUGGAGCCAACCCCAAAAAGCCGGUCUCAGUUCGGAUUGGAGUCUGCAACUCGACUCCAUGAAGUUGGAAUCGCUAGUAAUCGUGGAUCAGCACGCCGCGGUGAAUACGUUCCCGGGCCUU